GGACAGCUGGCGGCUCUUCGAUCGUUUGAAAAGAUAGCACAAAAACGCGUCUGCUCCCCGUUUGCAUCUACGCCUUCUCCGCGUCCUGGUUCCUUCGGAUACCUAGUGAAGUGAUUAUCGUGUUCCGUCUCGGCAGAAGCUUCAGUGACUCACUGGUGGAAGUUCAGUAGCUAUCGGCGCAACGAAAAGCAAAAAACAAAAACGCGCGUGUGAGUGUUACCUGCUGCUGCUCUAAAGCCCUACCAGGAAAAAUGGCCAACAAAAUCGAAGAGGUGCGAGCAUCCAUCGAAACUUCCCUGAGGGACGAAACCAAACCAUGGACGAAGGCUUUCAAUCUGGCCGAAGAGAAGAGCGGUGUUCCGAGGCUGUAUAUUUUUUCGGGUGGUGUGGCUCUAGUGGUCCUCUAUCUGGCCUUCGGUUAUGCCGCACAGAUCCUGUGUAAUGCUAUCGGUGUGGCUUACCCGGCAUACAUUUCCAUGAAAGCGAUCGAAACCCGCACAAAGGAGGACGACACCAGAUGGCUCACCUACUGGGUUAUCUACGGCGUUCUGUCGGUGUUCGAGCACUUCUCCUUCUUCCUGGUGCAGAUUAUCCCAUUCUACUGGCUGCUGAAGUGCAUCUUCUUCGUCUGGUGCAUGGUGCCAAUUGAGAACAACGGAUCGACCGUCAUGUACCACAAGGUCAUCCUGCCAUACUUCAAGAAAUACGAAAAAAGUAAGUAACGCAAGUAUGGGAAGCUUUCAAGCACAUUCGAUCAAGCAUACACAAAUUCAUGAUUAUGGUGCGGACAAUCUGAUCGGACAGGCCACUGAUAAGAUCAAGCAGGUGGCCGGUGACGUGAUCUCCAAGAAGCUGUCUUAAAGCAACCCACCAUGCGUAGCUUUUAUCACAAUUUUUGUAGCAUGUUGUUUAGAAUUUUAAGAUACUUUCCUUGUACGUAGUAUAGAGAAAACUAUCCGUCUGUGGUUGCAUCAUUUUCACUCAUUUUUAAUAGUAUCUGGUUGGUAUUGUAGAAACAUCACACGCGAAGAACAACACUUUUUACAUCUUUUCACUUUUUGAAAUCCAACUUAAUAAGUUUAUCUUUUUUCAAACAUGUACAAGGUUUUAGCUUAACGCAUUGAUUGUAUAAUAUGUGAAUAUUCAGUCGGUUAGAUUGGUAAACGCGAGGCAUCACAACCGUGACCAGUCCUAGAAAAGGACCAGCAGAAUAAAACGUGGCCAGUAGCAGCAAUGUUCCAAGCCAAAAGCAGCAUCCCUAAUAAGCACUUGCCUUAAUUCAUCUUCUGCAACGCAUGUUACAAAUACUGUCGCGGGCCUAUUUAUUGAAAGUCAAACAUCAUGCCAUUAUUGUUGAAAAACAAAUACACGCAAACAAAAAAUUGUAAAACAAUGCAAAAUUCGAUUCUUGAGCGGAGUAUCGAAAAGAACAGCACUUAGGAAUAAAUAAGCUUUACUCUAUGGAGGGUGUAGUUGUUCGUGGGCAAGACACAUGCAAAGUAUGGUUAGGUAUUUUGAAAAGAAAAGAAUUGUAAUGAAUUAUAGAAAAUAUGAAAGACAUAGGUACCAUCUA